rnacentral:rRNA from 1 species
UGGGGAAUUUUUCACAAUGGACGAAAGUCUGAUGAAGCAAUGCCGCGUGAAGGAUGAAGGUUUUCGGAUCGUAAACUUCUGUGAUAAAAGAAAAAAAUACUAAUAGGAAAUGAUUAGGAAUUGAUGUUACUUUAUUAGAAAGUCACGGCAAACUAUGUGCCAGCAGCCGCGGUAAUACAUAGGUGGCAAGCGUUAUCCGGAUUUAUUGGGCGUAAAGGGUGCACAGGUUGUUAAGAAAGUUUAAAGUUUAAUUCCGCAGCUCAACUGCGGGCCGCUUUGAAUACUUCUUGACUAGAAUAUCGGUGGGGUUAGUAGAAUUUGAUGUGUAGUGGUGGAAUACUUAAAUAUAUCAAGGAAUACCAAUGGGGAAGCCAGCUAACUGAACGAAUAUUGACACUUA